rnacentral:misc_RNA from 1 species
AGAAAAAAUUACUUUUUUAUUUCAACCGCAAAUGUUGGAAAUACAGGACUCAGAGCAGCACAAUACAAAAAGGAAACUACAAAUUAUGUAGGAAAGCACCACGUUAAAUCUAAUUCUCAAUCAACUAUGAGAAGAAAGAAAUUGCACACUGCUUGGAAGUGAAAUUUUAUCCUAAUAAUCCCACAUCGUCUUUCAAGAUCAAUUCAACGGUCAAGUUUCCAAUAAAUUAAAAAGUGUACAACGAAGCUUACAAGGGCCCCAUUCAAGUUCUGCAAUCUAGCUAUCCUGCUGGCCUGUCCAGUAGCUUCUUUGAAAGCAAUUUUAUCUGCAAAAUAUCUCUCAAAUGCAUUUGGUAGGAGGUUUCUCACAAACCUUUCAGCUCUUUUUAUGAACAAAAUACAAUGAGGGCCUGUCUUGUCUCAAAUGGCACAAGCUAGUAUAUCUCAUCG